rnacentral:rRNA from 1 species
AUUGAACGCUGGCGGCAGGCCUAACACAUGCAAGUCGAGCGAGCGGCGGACGGGUGUGUACUGUCUGGGAAACUGCCUGAUGGAGGGGGCUAACUACUGGAAACGGUAGCUAAUACCGCAUACCAUCAGAUGUGCCCAGAUGGGAUUAGCUAGUAGGUGGGGUAAUGGGUCACCUAGGCGACGAGCCCUAGCUGGUCUGAGAGGAGGACCAGCCACACUGGAACUGAGACACGGUCCAGACUGCGACGUGAGGCAGCAGUGGGGAAUAUUGCACAAUUGGCGCAAGCCUGAUGCAGCCAUGCCGCGUGUGUGAAGAAGGCCUUCGGGUUGUAAAGCACUUUCAGCGGGGAGGCGUUACCCGCAGAAGAAGCACCGGCUAACUCCGUGCCAGCCGCCGCGGUAAUAC